rnacentral:rRNA from 1 species
CACGCCGCGUGAACGAUGAAGGUCUUCGGAUCGUAAAGUUCUGUUGUUAGGGAAGAACAAGUACCGUGCGAAUAGAGCGGUACCUUGACGGUACCUAACGAGGAAGCCCCGGCUAACUACGUGCCAGCAGCCGCGGUAAUACGUAGGGGGCAAGCGUUGUCCGGAAUUAUUGGGCGUAAAGCGCGCGCAGGCGGUUCCUUAAGUCUGAUGUGAAAGCCCACGGCUCAACCGUGGAGGGUCAUUGGAAACUGGGGAACUUGAGGACAGAAGAGGAGAGUGGAAUUCCACGUGUAGCGGUGAAAUGCGUAGAUAUGUGGAGGAACACCAGUGGCGAAGGCGACUCUCUGGUCUGUUUCUGACGCUGAGGUGCGAAAGCGUGGGUAGCAAACAGGAUUA